AGUUAUUGCUGCAACCACUACAACAGAAAAACUUACUACAACAGUGAAGCCAACACCAACAGGAUCCACCACCAGUAUCAAACCGGAGCUCACGACAACAGUGAAAGAAACUACAGCUGGCUCCACACCAGGUCA